AAAGACGGUCUUGCUGUCACUUAUAGAUGGAUCCGCGCUGCAUUAGCUAAUUGGUAAGGUAACGGCUUACCAAGGCAACGAUGCAUAGCCGACCUGAGAGGGUGAUCGGCCACACUGGAACUGAGACACGGUCCAGACUCCUACGGGAGGCAGCAGUAGGGAAUCUUCCGCAAUGGGCGAAAGCCUGACGGAGCAACGCCGCGUGAGUGAUGAAGGUCUUCGGAUCGUAAAACUCUGUUAUUAGGGAAGAACAUAUGUGUAAGUAACUGUGCACAUCUUGACGGUACCUAAUCAGAAAGCCACGGCUAACUACGUGCCAGCAGCCGCGGUAAUACGUAGGUGGCAAGCGUUAUCCGGAAUUAUUGGGCGUAAAGCGCGCGUAGGCGGUUUUUUAAGUCUGAUGUGAAAGCCCACGGCUCAACCGUGGAGGGUCAUUGGAAACUGGAAAACUUGAGUGCAGAAGAGGAAAGUGGAAUUCCAUGUGUAGCGGUGAAAUGCGCAGAGAUAUGGAGGAACACCAGUGGCGAAGGCGACUUUCUGGUCUGUAACUGACGCUGAUGUGCGAAAGCGUGGGGAUCAAACAGGAUUAGAUACCCUGGUAGUCCACGCCGUAAACGAUGAGUGCUAAGUGUUAGGGGGUUUCCGCCCCUUAGUGCUGCAGCUAACGCAUUAAGCACUCCGCCUGGGGAGUACGACCGCAAGGUUGAAACUCAAAGGAAUUGACGGGGACCCGCACAAGCGGUGGAGCAUGUGGUUUAAUUCGAAGCAACGCGAAGAACCUUACCAAAUCUUGACAUCCUUUGACAACUCUAGAGAUAGAGCCUUCCCCUUCGGGGGACAAAGUGACAGGUGGUGCAUGGUUGUCGUCAGCUCGUGUCGUGAGAUGUUGGGUUAAGUCCCGCAACGAGCGCAACCCUUAAGCUUAGUUGCCAUCAUUAAGUUGGGCACUCUAAGUUGACUGCCGGUGACAAACCGGAGGAAGGUGGGGAUGACGUCAAAUCAUCAUGCCCCUUAUGAUUUGGGCUACACACGUGCUACAAUGGACAAUACAAAGGGCAGCGAAACCGCGAGGUCAAGCAAAUCCCAUAAAGUUGUUCUCAGUUCGGAUUGUAGUCUGCAACUCGACUACAUGAAGCUGGAAUCGCUAGUAAUCGUAGAUCAGCAUGCUACGGUGAAUACGUUCCCGGGUCUUGUACACACCGCCCGUCACACCACGAGAGUUUGUAACACCCGAAGCCGGUGGAGUAACCUUUUAGGAGCUAGCCGUCGAAGGUGGGACAAAUGAUUGGGGUGAAGUCGUAACAAGGUAGCCGUAUCGGAAGGUGCGGCUGGAUCACCU
rnacentral:rRNA from 1 species